GUGGGGAAUCUUGCGCAAUGGGCGAAAGCCUGACGCAGCGACGCCGCGUGAGGGAAGAAGGCCUUCGGGUUGUAAACCUCUUUCAGCAGGGACGAAGCUACUCGGGUGAACAGCCCAGAGGGUGACGGUACCUGUAGAAGAAGCCCCGGCUAACUACGUGCCAGCAGCCGCGGUAAUACGUAGGGGGCAAGCGUUGUCCGGAUUUACUGGGCGUAAAGAGCGUGUAGGCGGCCAAGCAGGUCUGUUGUGAAAACUGGAGGCUCAACCUCCAGACGUCGACAGAAACCGCUUGGCUAGAGUCCGGAAGAGGAGAGUGGAAUUCCUGGUGUAGCGGUGAAAUGCGCAGAUAUCAGGAAGAACACCAAUGGCGAAGGCAGCUCUCUGGGACGGUACUGACGCUGAGACGCGAAAGCGUGGGGAGCGAACAGGAUUAGAUACCCGGGUAGUCC
rnacentral:rRNA from 1 species